AUUUCUUGGAUAGCUCAGUCGGUUAGAGUGUGGUGCUAAGAACACCAAGGUUGCAGGUUCAAUCCCUGGAAGGAACA